AAAAAAAGCUAAAACUGGGCUUCAUUUGUCUCAAUUGAGUUCCAAUGGGGUCGCUGUGUCCAUUUCUUUUACUGUCUAUGCAAUGACUUUGCAACACAUUCCCCUUUGCGCUGCUCCUUUAAAUCCGCGUUUCAGUCAUCCGUGCCUCUGCGGUGCAAGCUUUCCUUUGCGCUUCAUUUUUUCUUUGCGCCUCGCUUUGUGUCACUGAUUUGACGUGGGGGAGGGGUCAAGAGGUUGAGGUGUGUACAAGGGAGGAAGGCGUGUCCUUCUCGUUACGUCAUCAGCGCGAGCCCCAGACCGAGUGGAUCGAUCGAAAUGGAGGAACAGAGACAUGUGGGUGAUGGAUCACAGGUGGGGCUGUAGAGGCUUUUUGCACCUCUUUUGUUGUCAGUUUGUGUUCCUACCUCGUCUCCAAGCCAGCCUUGACUCCUUUACUAGUGGGUGGAAUAACCAUCCUCUCCACACAGAGAGUAAUCUAAGCCCAGACCAGUUGUGGGAAAUUGGACUCCUGCAAAACCCUGUCACUCCUCCUGUCCUAUCUGAGAUUGCACAAGACGACGACUCUUGACUGGGACACAGACAGUAUCUCUGACCAGCCGUGGACAGGAAUUGUAGUUCCUCCAGUCGAAUGCCCCUUAACUUAAGAACUUAAGGCCCAAAUUCAAACUUUUUUAACCCAACCUCACACUCUCAAAACUAUGGAAGAGACCAUUAUUUUAAAGUUUUAAAUUUUGUGCUGCUUCAUUCUUAAUUGACACUAAAUCAGUCAUUGAAAUGACUAGUGACCAAAUGAUCCAUUUACAAGCAAAUUAACAUCCAAGUCAAUAAAAAACAAACUUAAGUUGACAUUGCAUGCUUGUUUUAUUUUCUGUAUUGGCUAUAUUUAAAGCAGAAAAUGGCUAGUAUAACAACUGGUGUUCUCUUAACACAUUCAUUAAGAUAUAAAAUUUUACAAUAUGUAACACGUUGUGUUCUCUACACAUACACAGUAAAUUUCAAAACCAUAAGAACAUUUACCAAUGUAUAAAAGGUUUUUUUCCUGAACAUGUACAAUUCCAUACCUUUAGUAUCAUUUUAAAUUCUGUUUAAACCGUUGUCAAAUUGAAUGGCUUGGUUGGGGUUGGUAUUGUCUGAAUUAAAUCAAUUACAUUUUAACAUUAA